rnacentral:lncRNA from 1 species
GGUCGAAGCUAGACAAUGCCACUUCAUCAGUGCAAUGGUAGAAGAGCCGGUUCGACGGGAUGCUGGCCACAUAGUUGCUCAGCAACGCCGUUGCUGUUGCCUCAUCAUAUGGAAUACCACUGGCAGCAAGAGCCAGAGCAAAUUCACCAAGGUCACCGCCUGCGAGUCAAAAAUUCUUGUGUCUCGUGUGGCUGUGUUUUUUGAUACCUUACCAGGAGUGCUCAAGGACGCCUCCGUGACACGGUCGUCCAUACAUGAAAAAUGUUGUUCUUUUACCCGUCCAAAGGUAACAUCGGAUGGUUGGCCCCAGUUCGCCCGCACUUCAGCUGCAUUGAGUCCGAUUGUAGAAGAGUGAUCUUGAUGUAUUUUCACUUUGCUCGGAUUGCUAUUGACACAAGAACAAUAUGACCAAGGCGGGCGCAAUCAACGUCGGCGAUACCUUACCAAAGUGGAGCGAUCUGGGCUAGGGUCCUCUCAACAUCCGUCACGCCUAAAAAUCAGCUCGUGUCGCCUGCUGGAAGGCACCAGUUCGAUCCAAGAUCGGCUAGUCUACCUUCAUUGCAGUUGCAUACUGCUCGGUACGUUUUCCCAUUUAGUGUCAAUGUUCCUUGAACGAAUGGUUCUGCGCCGGGUUCGGCUGCUUGAACAACCACAUAUAGACCGGCCGAGAACAACGAUGCCACUGUGAUACGGGAGAAAAACGACAUGGUGGCUAGGAGCGUUGGUCGGUGAGUAGCCGGUCACCAAAAUAACAAUAGCGUCGAUCGCUGUCCGGAGUCCCUUUUUCAGUGACACACUGUGACGGCCGAGUGUAUAUACUCUGCCGGUAUUGUCUAGAUAAAAGGCACGUGAACCGUCGCUGACUCCUUAGGUGCGAUAAGGCUGGUGAAUAUUUUUUCCACCCGUUGACGAUGCAUUUCGUCUUUGAUCAUCAUGCCGUGGAUCCGUAUCCAUCCGGUGUCGUCCUUAGGCCCAGCUUGUUUUUUCAAAAUGAAAACGUAAUAUAGAAGGGGGCCGACUGUUGCUACUGGGGUGGGGCAUCAUAUCUAUUCGGGUGAAAGGACACUGGCAUUUUGCAAGAACAAGAGGUCCCAGAUAACUCCGGGAACUUGUUUUUGGCUUUUCCCUUUGCCAAGUGAAGCCUCAGAAAGGUGGUGGCCUAAUACGUUAGAGUUCGGGAGCUUUACAGACACAACACCCCCAACAAGAACGGACUCGGUCUGUGCCAGCGCGGACUGUUUUUACUUCAUUUGC